UUGUGAAGGUACAAACCUACUGACUGUCCCUUCCUGCUCUGAUAACCCUCUGGAAUACUUAGAAUAGUCCAGGCCACAGUGGGAAGAUGGGAAUAGUGUAGCGGGGAGGUGUUAGCACUGAAGUGUGUGACUGGUCAGUUCUUAGUCAGCGUGGCACAGCCCUGGGGCAGCUAGGAAGAAGAGACCUCAAUAGAAAAAAAUGUCUCCGUCAGAUUGGUGCGUGGGGGCAUUUUCUUGAUUACUGAUUGAUAGUGAGGGCCCAACAUACUAUAAAUGGUACUACCCUUGGGCAGGUGGCUGACACUACCCCUGGGCAGGUAGAUUAUACUACCCCUGGGCAGGUGCAUGGUACUAGCCCUUGGGCAGGUGGAUGGUACUACCCCUGGGCAGGUGGAUGGUACUAGCCCUGGGCAGGUGGAUGGUACUAGCCCUGGGCAGGUGGAUGGUACUAGCCCUUGGGCAGGUGGAUGGUACUAGCCCUGGGCAGGUGGAUGGUACUAGCCCUGGGCAGGUGGAUGGUACUAGCCCUUGGGCAGGUGGAUGGUACUAGCCCUGGGCAGGUGGAUGGUACUAGCCCUGGGCAGGUGGAUGGUACUAGCCCUGGGCAGGUGGAUGGUACUAGCCCUGGGCAGGUGGAUGGUACUAGCCCUGGGCAGGUGGAUGGUACUAGCCCUGGGCAGGUGGAUGGUACUAGCCCUUGGGCAGGUGGAUGGUACUAGCCCUGGGCAGGUGGAUGGUACUAGCCCUGGGCAGGUGGAUGGUACUAGCCCUGGGCAGGUGGAUGGUACUAGCCCUGGGCAGGUGGAUGGUACUAGCCCUGGGCAGGUGGAUGGUACUAGCCCUGGGCAGGUGGAUGGUACUAGCCCUGGCCAGGUGGAUGGUACUAGCCCUGGCCAGGUGGAUGGAACUAGCCCUGGCCAGGUGGAUGGUACUAGCCCUUGGGCAGGUGGAUGGUAGUACCCCUGGGCAGGUGGAUGGUAUUAGCCCUGGCCAGGUGGAUGGUACUAGCCCUGGCCAGGUGGAUGGAACUACCCUGGGCAGGUGGAUGGUACUAGCCCUUGGGCAGGUGGAUGGUACUAGCCCUGGGCAGGUGGAUGGUACUAGCCCUGGGCAGGUGGAUGGUACUAGCCCUGGGCAGGUGGAUGGUACUAGCCCUGGGCAGGUGGAUGGUACUAGCCCUGGGCAGGUGGAUGGUACUAGCCCUGGGCAGGUGGAUGGAACUAGCCCUGGGCAGGUGGAUGGAACUAGCCCUGACAGGUAAAUGGUACUAGCCCUGCUCUCCAAUCUGUGCCUCCAGGUUUCCUCCCUGAUGGUGUCUUCCCUUUCUGAUAACUAUGAGCUGUAAAG
rnacentral:lncRNA from 1 species